CGCGGGGUAGAGCAGUUUGGUAGCUCGUCGGGCUCAUAACCCGGAGGUCGAAGGUUCAAAUCCUUCCCCCGCAACCA
rnacentral:tRNA from 8 species